CCUACGGGCGGCAGCAGUGAGGAAUCUUGGUCAAUGGCCGGAAGGCUGAACCAGCCAAGCCACGUGAAGCACGAAGGUGCCAAGCAUUGUAAACUUCUUUUGUCAAGGGACAAAAUCAGGCUCGAGAGCCUGACCGAGGGUCCUCGAAGAAAAAGCAUUGGCUAACCCCGUGCCCGCCGCCGCGGUAAUACGGGGGAUGCGAGCGUUAUCCGGAUUUAGUGGGGUUUAAGGGUGCGUAGGCGGACUUUUAAGUCAGCGGUAAAAUCCCGGGGCUCAACCCCGGCGAGCCGUUUAAACUGGCGGACUUGAGAUGUCGAGAGGUAUGCGGAAUGCGCAGUGUAGCGGUGAAAUGCUUAGAUAUUGCGCAGAACUCCGAUUGCGAAGGCAGCAUACCGGCGGCGAUCUGACGCUGAGGCACGAAAGCGUGGGUAUCGAACAGGAUUAGAUACCCUUGUAGUC
rnacentral:rRNA from 1 species